rnacentral:lncRNA from 1 species
AUCGUCAUCAGAAAAGUCAACUCCAUCAGAGAAGUCACUACCGCCAGAGGAGACGCCCUUGCCAGAGAAGACGUGUUUACCAGAGGAGUCCCUCAUGCCAGAGAUGUCAAUAUCACCAGAGAAGACGCCUUCGCCAGAGAAGACAUUUCCAUCAGAGGAGCCAAUAAACGCGCGGGAAGGUCUCCCGCGUAUUAUCGAAAUUACCAACGUACCCUUCCACCACGCAGGACGCAUGCACCGAAGAUGUUUUUACUAUUUUACCCCUCCGCUUGUAAAUCUAUAAAUAGGGUCCGAGCUCGUGUAUUAUUUCUUACGCUAUCUCAUAUUUUCGAAUACUACAGUUGUUUUCUCUCUUGAG